AGAGUUUGAUCAUGGCUCAGGAUGAACGCUAGCUACAGGCUUAACACAUGCAAGUCGAGGGGCAGCAUGUUGGUUGCUUGCAACCAAUGAUGGCGACCGGCGCACGGGUGAGUAACGCGUAUCCAACCUACCCUUGUCCAUCGGAUAACCCGUCGGAAGGCGGCCUAACACGAUAUGCGGUUCUCAGCAGGCAUCUAACGAGAACGAAAUGUGAAGGAGAAGGAUGGGGAUGCGUCUGAUUAGCUUGUUGGCGGGGUAACGGCCACCAAGGCGACGAUCAGUAGGGGUUCUGAGAGGAAGUCCCCCANAUUGGAACUGAGACACGGUCCAAACUCCUACGGGAGCA
rnacentral:rRNA from 1 species